GAGCGCCCAGACAGGAACAAUGACACACUUCCUGCUGUGUAAAGCUCCCUGACCACGUAGCCCUGUCCCGAUGCAGCUGAUGCAGAUGCAAAGUUGGGGAUCGCUGGACAGAGGUGCUCAGUCUCCGGGGCGUCAUCAGAGGGCAUCACCAAGGAGGCCUUACAACACAGCCUUAACAGGGUCCCUGGGCUGUCUGGUAGGAAGAUGCACUUGACAACUUAGGAGGGAAUAUCAGCAAUGGUAUGAUUCUGUGCUAACAUAAGAGAAGUCAGCCAAGCCAACAGGUAUCGGAGGCUAAAAACUACCGUUACAAGAUAAACAAAACACUCCUGGUUCCUCACCGAUGUCAGAAGGGGUCGCAUCUGCUCGCUCAUCUCUUGUUCCAUUUUCCAGACUUCGUGGGACCACUCUUCCCUAUCCGUAGGCAAUUUGAAUGUAGAACUCCGAACUGCCUUUUUUGACGUGUCACCACCGCCACUACAACGACUGACAAUUAUAACUUAGAAGUGUAACCCGCCCUAUUUUGAUUGACAGUUUAUUUCUAUAUUCAGAACGAACCAGUCCCUUUCUCCAUCCAACAAAUGAUAUGGAAAGCCAAAGAGGCGGGUUUGUGACGCCCAUUGGGGCGGAGCUUGUAACAAAAGCCGUUGGAUGCUGUUGAUUCAGUGUGGUUCAUAGAACUGUGUUUAUAUCAUAAUUUUUGCUUCAAAAUAAAUGUUUCAAAUAUUUUGAGAGAAAGCGUUGUUUUGGGGAUGAAGCAUUCCAUUGCCCAACUCCAUUCAGUUUGAUAUUGUUGUAUGACUUGUGACCGAACCAAGAUCAGCCAAGCCACAAACUUCAAUCAAUUACUAAAAGACAGAACCGUCCAAUUUACCUAACUCUGAACUGGAAAUGAUUUGUGCUGAAGUGUGAACUGUGACAAGAACUUCUGCAUGUAUCGGUUCUUGUAAGGAGCUUAUAAAAGAUUAGCUGAUUCCUAUUCAUGUAGAGUUUACUCCCGUUGUUAGUGUUGGCUGAUUUAAUCCUGAAGGAUUACUUCAAACCUAUUCAUGUUCCAAGUCUCACAAGAAUGGUAAAACAGUUUCUGUAUUGAA